rnacentral:rRNA from 1 species
CAGCCUUGCUGAAUUAUUCACCCUUGUCUUUUGCGUACUUCUUGUUUCCUUGGUGGGUUCGCCCACCACUAGGACAAACAUAAACCUUUUGUAAUUGCAAUCAGCGUCAGUAACAAAUUAAUAAUUACAACUUUCAACAACGGAUCUCUUGGUUCUGGCAUCGAUGAAGAACGCAGCGAAAUGCGAUAAGUAGUGUGAAUUGCAGAAUUCAGUGAAUCAUCGAAUCUUUGAACGCACAUUGCGCCCUUUGGUAUUCCAAAGGGCAUGCCUGUUCGAGCGUCAUUUGUACCCUCAAGCUUUGCUUGGUGUUGGGCGUCUUGUCUCUAGCUUUGCUGGAGACUCGCCUUAAAGUAAUUGGCAGCCGGCCUACUGGUUUCGGAGCGCAGCACAAGUCGCACUCUCUAUCAGCAAAGGUCUAGCAUCCAUUAAGCCUUUUUUUCAACUUUUGACCUCGGAUCAGGUAGGGAUACCCGCUGAACUUAAGCAUAUCAA